UCCAUGCUUUGCUAAUAAUUAGUAUGGUAUCGAUAUUUUUGUUUAAUCCGGCAGGUACUUCAGUACGUUGUUGUUGUUAUUGUUGUUGUCGGUAUAAGGGGGCAAACCACUUUAAGAAAAUCUAAGUAUCUACAAGUUUAAAAUACUAGAAAACUGGCUGAGAUGGGGCCACGUCCCACCGGUCUGUCGAAGUCAGUACUGGCUUCGCCGUCACGGAGUGAGGCCUCCGGCUCGGGAGUUACGACGCCCAGUACACCCACCGGAGCAUUAUCGACGCCCAACUUGAACCGUCAGAGGCUGCAGUUCAACGAAGUCGUCGACAAGAGUAAGAGUCUGUUGGUGAAGGAGGGCCACCAGAAAAGGCUCAAGAUGCUGAGAAAAGAGCUGGAUUACCUGAACGAGACAGCUUGGCAGUACCAGCCAAUCGAGACUUACAUCGGCCACUGAUUCUCAUUUCAUAUUUUUUCUACCUAUUAUUGUAAUUUUUCUUGAAGUCAAAAAUUAAACUUUUUUUUUUCAAAAUGUAUAUCUUUAAAUUUCGUUUAAAUUUUCAAAAAAUUAUUACCUAGCAUAUUUAUGUAAUGGUUGCCUUUGGCCCUUUGUUAUGGCAAGACCAUGAAUUUAUUAUAUUUGUCUUUUUUAAGUAAAUGGUUCUCAAAAU